AGGAGAGGCAUAACCCAAAUUUGGGUAUCCUCUCUCCUUGAGACCUAUUUGUAGAGAGUGUUGUCUUUUAGGUCUUGUUGUUGGAGAAGACUAAAAAUAUGUAUGGAAACUUUUACCUGUAGCGUUAUCCAAAGAAUAAAUGGGUAUUGUAUUUUGGGUAACAAUUGUUGGAGAUAGUCUUAAAAGUAGGAGGAACACCCAAAAAAAAGAACCCUGUAUUUAGGGGCUAUUGCUGGAGUUAAUAUGAAAUAUUCUUCGAGAUGCUCUAUAUAACCCAUCGAACUGGGAGGCCUAUGGGCCAGGGCCCAGCGGAACAGACGCUGCGGGCCCUCCAAUUUUCGUUCGCUACCACGACUGGUGCUAGAUUCUGCUAUUGGGGUUGAGCCCAGUACAGUGGUCAUGCUCGUGCCAACGUGCGUUUCGCUGCGGUUUCUGUCCUUGCAGGGGCACUUGGGCUGGGCCAAGGGAACCGCUGCUGCCUGUACCCAAUACGAAAACUUGCCGGACUUGCCAGGUGCAGCAGUUUCCUACUACUGUACAGCAACGUGUGAAUAAUGAUGUAUAGGUACUACAUCAUUGCGCAAUGCCAACGAUCAUCAGAUGCAAAGCUAGGAGAACAAGCCAAGCUAUCGACCCCGAUGGCGACAGGAGACAAGACAAGGUACAAAACCGAACGAGGCAGUAUCAUACCUGACUGCUGCCUGAUCAAGUAAUCACGCUGGUUGAAAGAGCAGAUACGCGCUUCUAUAGGUACUAGUCCUACUUCGUACCAAGUUCCCGAUUCUGGUUAAUUGGAGACCAAUGCAAUGAUGCAUCAGAUGCUAGAGUAGAUGAUAGUGGUUGAAGGAUUCAUGUCCAUCAUCCACUGCCAACAAAAUAGCUGUACAUGUACCCUGUCGAGACAGCAAAAGCCGACCAAACGUUCCUGUGUACUUCGCACCGACGAACGUCCUAGGCAACUACACGCUGAAAAUUCAUUCGUCUGCCAACACUUAGCCAAUGAAGAACGUUGCUAUCAGCACACCGGCUACUGAAAAUUUUGAACAAACUUAUCAUUAGCAACUAUAAUACAGAACACUAAAUGCUUUUUGUUACAACUACAAUCAAAAGGAAGGUGCGCCGACAGCUGAUCCAAAGUUCUAAUUUAUAUUCCUGGAUCCGUCAUUGGUGGCACGAGCUAUUGCCAACAUGUUUCAUUAUGCGAAGUCUUGCAGCCACGCAAUGCAGUGCAGGACGAUAGGCGACACCAGGGUCUUCCUUGUCAAGUUGUUGUUGCUGAGAGGAUAUUGGUAUAGUGGUUUAACCAUGCCAUAUAGGUAAAAUAGUGUGUGUUGUGGUUGUGUGCACUAAUCGUCCAUGAUGACAGGAAGACUCGUCCUGUCGCUCGUCUCAUUGCUUACGGUUUUAAAUUGUGCAUGCACCCACUACCUUGGGAAGCAUCGAGAGUGCCCGAUUGCGUGGCCACCUUGUCAGAUCCUUCCGCAGGGCUCCAAGUGGCCGAGUAGUGAAUGGGGUCUGUCAGGAGUUUUGAUUCCAUAUGGCGGUUAUACCUGCCAAUAGGACUAUAGCAUGAAAUCGACAUGUGAACCCGUAGCCUUAACUACAUGGUCGAUCCCUAGAGUAUUAUAUGAUUUUCGCCUACGACAUUAAACUAUGAAAUUGCAAACUUGGCUCCCUAAUUUAAUGAUUUUUUCAAUUCUUGUAAGCUCCAUAACUAUGCUAGAACAAAAGUUCUACAAUGAUCAUCUAAGAUAUCAUGAAAGUAGGAGAUCAUAGAUCGUUAUCACUAGAAGCGUAGUGGAAGAAGUGUUGGAGUAGCCUGGUUCAACGUGCGCAGAUCGAUGUAGAGGUAGUAGGUGUGUGUCCUCGCAUCCCAACAUCAGCCUCGCAUGCACCUGCCUUGCAUUUAUCGCCAAUCAACUUCAAAAUUUAUCGCCAACCAACAUCAGCCUCGCAUGCACCUGCCUUACAUUAAUUUUUUAACUUACUUGUUUAAAUUUAAGAUUUGUUAACUCCUCGAAAACAAGACAAGCGCACUCUUUUUUUAUUCAGGUAGUAUACUUCUACAAGAUGGUAUUCCAAUAGAAUUAUUUGCAAAUAGAACUCAUGCUUCAAAUUAUAUAUUCUAAUGUUCCUUUUUUAUUUAUUAUACCAUUACGUAACAUCAAUGUUUGUGUCUUUCACAUCUCAAAGCACCAUAUUUCAUAUACUUCAUCUUAAUUUCUCGGGCUGCCGUGGCAAUGCAAAGCGCGACUAAACCAUGUUUAAUGGGCUGGCACAAGGCCCGCUUUUCUUAUGUCCGGCUCAUCGCACAAGCCAGCGCAUGCACGGCCCGUUUUGCGGUUGCUCGUGUAUCGGCGCUGAACACCACCUUGCAUUGCCAGUCGCCUCCUCACCUUCAGCCUCCGAUAGACCGAUACGCUUCGGGAAGGCGAGGACCUCGACUUCCUCGCCGGAGUCGGGAAAGGCCAUGGGCUUUGCCGCGAAUAGCAAGACUAAAGAUAUGAACAACCAAGCAUCUACAGCGAUCAACUCACAAGCAAGAGCAGGGGCCGUCCUUCCUGAUCACUCCUCAUACUGUGGACAAGGUGAUUGAUGGUGAGGUCUGGCCAACCACAGAUUCGGCAUCAAACGAACAGGACCGGAACAUCUGCUUCUACCACUGUCAAGAGGGCCAGAAGGAUGCGAGCCUGUCUAAGGUUUCCUUAAAUUCAGCUUAGAAGAUGAAACAUUUUGUUUACUACUAUAUCCAAGUUGCAAUCAGAAAAUGAUACAGCUCACUUAGUUAUGCUAGGCGGAGAAUUGUGCCUAGCUCAAAGCCUUGCGACAGCACAAUAGUGAUUUGGAGGUCAUCCUCGUCUACUGAUGGUCAUCAUUGGGCUCAAAUCUAUGCUAUGAAUUUGUUUGAAGCAUGCAUACUGAUGGCAUGCUUCUUCGGAGAGGGAAUUACCUCUAUCGAUGUGAUGAGUCAAGUCGAUUUGCAAGGGAAGUGCUCUGUGUGCAUCAGGCGACUUACAAGAAUACCAAAGCAGGACCUUUUAGUUAUGGGGAACAUGUUGUUUUCUAUUACUUCCCUACGUGGAGAGUCUUGUUCGAGUGACAAAGGGGAAACUACCGGCUGCUGUCUGUUCCUGACGUAUCCAUAUCUAUUUCUGGUAAUAGGAGUGAACAUUUACAAGAAUGAUUUUAUU